UACGUAGGGUGCAAGCGUUAUCCGGAAUUAUUGGGCGUAAAGAGCUCGUAGGCGGUUUGUCGCGUCUGCUGUGAAAACUGGAGGCUCAACCUCCAGCCUGCAGUGGGUACGGGCAGACUAGAGUGCGGUAGGGGAGAUUGGAAUUCCUGGUGUAGCGGUGGAAUGCGCAGAUAUCAGGAGGAACACCGGGUGGCGAAGGCGGGUCUCUGGGCCGUAAACUGACGCUGGAGGAGCGAAAGCGUGGGGGAGCGAACAGG
rnacentral:rRNA from 1 species